AUUGAACGCUGGCGGCAUGCCUUACACAUGCAAGUCGAACGGCAGCACGGGUGCUUGCACCUGGUGGCGAGUGGCGAACGGGUGAGUAAUAUAUCGGAACGUACCUUAUUGUGGGGGAUAACGCAGCGAAAGCUGUGCUAAUACCGCAUAAUCCCUAAGGGGGAAAGCGGGGGACCGUAAGGCCUCGCGCAAUUAGAGCGGCCGAUACCUGAUUAGGUAGUUGGUGGGGUAAAGGCUCACCAAGCCGACGAUCUGUAGCUGGUCUGAGAGGACGACCAGCCACACUGGGACUGAGACACGGCCCAGACUCCUACGGGAGGCAGCAGUGGGGAAUUUUGGACAAUGGGGGCAACCCUGAUCCAGCAACGCCGCGUGCAGGAAGAAGGCCUUCGGGUUGUAAACUGCUUUUGUACGGAACGAAACGGCUCUGGUUAAUACCUGGGGCUAAUGACGGUACCGUAAGAAUAAGCACCGGCUAACUACGUGCCAGCCGCCGCGGUAA
rnacentral:rRNA from 1 species